rnacentral:lncRNA from 1 species
UGUAAUCUCUAUUCUGAUUUCCUCGUCCCUUAUACCCCUAACGACAUGUACAUAUUAUUCCUAUAGCUGAUUAUUACGUCAAUACCCUCAACUACCUGUAACCUGCACAUGACACUCAGUACUGGUUUUCCUUAUGUUAUUAUUACUCAAACUGGUACCCUGACAUGAUCUCAGUACUU